UGUUACUCAUUUUCUUUUUAUUGCUUUAACAUGUCUUCACUGGAACAUGUUUCCAUUGGAGGCUGCUGGUGCCAGCUGUACACCUGGCUCAAGUUGGAAAGAAAUGGAGUUUGGCCUUUCAUCUUCGCUGUUUUCUGUUAUGAUUGGAACUGAGGGUUGGCCCCAGAUCAGACAAAGGGUGAGCUGAAAACCAUCCUCAGAGCUGGUUUCUAGAGGAAGCCUUAUAGGGUUGUGUGUGGGGGGUUUGGCUUUUUUUUUCUCCUCUCCCUUUUUGGAGCUCUUGUAUUGAGUUUAUAUACUGGCAGAGGCAGGAAACCAUUGUGUACAAUAUGGCAAACAGAGCUAACAGGCAGUCAGGCCAGAGGCUAUAAAUUAUUAUUUUAAUUUCUUGGUUUAUGGUUUCUUGUUGACUCCAGAUCAAUAGGAAAAAGAUGCAUUGAGCCACCUCUUUUAAUUAAAAAGGCUUCUGUGAUUAGGCUCUAGUGAGGGAUGAAGAGGCGCGUGAAGAGGAUGUGUCUGGAAGCAGAUGGUGGUUUCCAGGGGGAGGAAUGUUGCUUUCCCCUGUGCUGCAUCAGCCGCUCAUUUUCUAGUGGCCAACUUUCUGGAGGAGCUAUGGGAGAAACCCAACUGCAGCGCAGCACACUUCACCGAGCUUUCUUCCAGCCUGGUUUGUGUUUGCAUCCUCACAUCCCGAGCCAGCGGACCUUGUUUCCCAUCGAAUAAGAAAGCACUGUAUUUUAGCAGACUCUUGUGCUUAUUUUAAAACAACUCCAGCUUCGUUUCACCCCAAACGUGGGCCACUUGCCCCAUAGUGCUGAGAAAUGGUUGGCGUUUGGUGCCUAACAGGUGCAGCAAUGUUUUUCUUUCCAAAGAAUUUCCACAGCGAAAUGCACAUCUGUAACAAAGCCUGUGUUUUUCUGCUCAUCACCCUCAGACACGGCCGUAAUUAAAUGCAGAUAUUAAUACCGAGGGCUACUUUGUGUUCCAUAAUCCGUAGGAGAAUGACCCAUUGCAUGGCGCUCGUUUGAAGUCUUAGUUAACCUUUAAUCGUUUGAUGCUGAGUCUGGCUUUGAUUUUCACAGCAGAAGAAGUGCGUUUUGCAAAACCUUCAGGAAGGAAACGUGCCAAUCCCACAGUAUUUCUCAUCGUGCUGCGGACGUUACUGUCAAAACCUCUCGGGCAACGCUGUGAGCAGUGAGGGCUUUUUCCAUUCCUCGCUUGCGCUCUGCCUCUUGUAAGGCAGCAUCGGAGUAAUGGCUUAAAUGCUGCUAACGUUUGUUUUGCUGAAGGAGACCUGGGCCGGUAGAGCAGGGCGGCGUGGCGCAGGUCUCAGAUGUGGAAUUUCCUCAGCACGAAGGUAUGCGGAGUAGGUUCUUGAGGGAACGCUUACAGGUGUUCAGAAAAGCAGAAGUAGAAAGGUUAAACCUUCAGUGCAUUCCACGAUAAAAGCGGAGCCAACAGCCCUUCAGAAGCAUGUCAGCUUGUUUGUUUUUGCCUUGUGGGAGGUGCUGUUUAACCGGCGCUGAGCUGGCAGAUAAGGCGGUGCUGCCAUGCUGCAGAGAGGUGAAGAAUUCCCCUCGCCCGCUCCCACCCGGCGCGCUGUGUGAGCUCGAGCUGCUGUAAUAAAAGUCUGCCCUCCGCAGUGGGUUUGGCCCAGAGCCUGGGAGCUGGGAGCGGGGCUUCCCUCGGCUGUGCAAACCUGGGGGCUGUCUCCCUGCCUGUGCAACUCCAUAGCCUGCGUUUGACCGCUGUGCUGCCCUGAUCUGCUCAAACUGGGCCUUCUAGCGCUCCCCACCUCCUGAAUUUUUUGUCUCCGUGCCAGCACUUCCUUUUCACCACAAUUCCUACCCUGUAACUAUCACAGCUGACUCCUUCUCCAAAGAAUAGGAAAUAAACUCCCUUACCUCCAGCCAAGACCUGAUAACUGCUGAUAAGUGGCUUGUCAGCAGGGGCUGAGCCGGGCGCUGGUCACUGCUGGACUCGGGUCCUGAACCCUUCUGAGAGGUAACAGCUGAUGGAAGCCAAGGAAGCAGAAAGCUGUGCAAAGAAGGACUUGGAAGGGAGAUGUGAUAACUUUACAGAGGAGACUAAUGACCAC
ensembl:lncRNA